UGAAAAGAACUUUGAAAAGAGGGUUAAAAGACUUGAAAUCGUUGAGAAGAAAGUGGUAGAAGAGUAAUCAUUUGUGUACGAUAUUCGGGUUGCUUGGAGGAUUGGUAAGGCUUUAGUACU
rnacentral:rRNA from 2 species